rnacentral:lncRNA from 1 species
CAGGGCUGAGACUGAAGGUGUAGAACGGACCACCUACUCUACGCAGGACAGUCAUAAAGGGCCAGACAUGUAAGCUGAAGCUGUUGGUAGAGCUUGGAGAAGAGCAACUCAAGGUUUUAAAACCUGUAUGCCCUUGAUCCUACUCCUCCCUCCACUAUUGCACCUCCUUGGAAAUCUGAGAGACAUUCAUGUCCCAGGAGUGACCAGCAUGAAGAGAGCUGAAACUCAGCCCCAUUGCACAGCUGGCUCCCAAGGAUCUAUCAUGGGAUAAGGCAGUGAAAAGUCCAUGUAUGAGUCUUUCUUCUGAUGCCAGGGCCAUUGAGGAGACAGUGCUGUACAUGGUGCAUCUAUAAGAAGGUAAAGAAGACUGCUGCUCUGUACAAUUCCAAGCGGCACCAUUCACAUCAUAUUCAAGAUGAAUGGCAAAAUUCUGGAGCACAUAGAAUAUAAUGUAAAUGGCAUCCCUUGGAGCUAUGCAAUGUGGCAGCCCUGUAUAAAUUUCUAAUGUACACAUUUGUAUAUUUGUUUUCCAAGGCUGUCAAAAAAUUACCACAAACUAUGUGAAUUACAACAACAGAAAUUGUCUUACAGUUUUGGAGUCUUACAGUUCUGGAGGUGAGAAGUUCUAAAUUCAGGUGUUGGCAGAGCCUUGCUUUAUCCUAACCUCUGGUCAUCCUGG